UCCCACCAGCAAAUACCGCCUAAUCUCAAGUCCCACCAGUAAACGCUGCUGGAUUUUACGGCUUCCAUCUCCUCGGUCAUCGGCGUUGCAGCACCCAAAGGUUUAUCUUCGGCGUCGUAGGCUUGCAGCUCUCUACUUGAUGUUGAUGGUAAUCGGUAAGCAUGUUCUAUUUUUUUUUCUUUGUUUCACCAAAUCAAUAAAAUACUGUUAUUACAAGAUUAAUUUUAAAAAAUAUAUAUUUAAUUGCACGUUGGAGCAAUAGAGCUUAUUAGAGUAAUGCCGCCAGCAGAGGAAACUUGUAUAUUUUGAAGCAAGCUAGCUACCAAAUAAAAAGAUGAAAGAUGGACAAGAAAAAGGAAUCAAAUUUAGUGGAGUAUGAUCAAAUUUCCGUGUUUGAAUUAAUUAAUUUUUUAUGCUCUGCUGUCUAGAAUUUUUUAUUCCAUUAGUAGCAUUUUUUUAAAUGUCAUAUUUAUAUUAACUAACGUAGCUCUUUUAAAAUGCUACGAAAAAACACACCUUUGUAACACUUGAAAAAUGCUACAAAAAGGAAAAAAAUAAGUAAAUAAAUAUACCGCCAAGAUUAGAAACACGUGGGCGCUCUCUUUUCCCAAAAUUUUCCCAUUAUAAUAGGACACCUAAAGCCUAAGUCCCCUUCUUUUUCUGUCUCUCCCUGGAUUCCUCCCCAAAUCCCCUGAUUUUGUCAAUUUCUUUUGUUUUUUAGUAGAUCUCUCAAAAUCAAAAAGUUGUAAUCGUUAAUUCUUUAUUGUCCAAAUCCCCUGAUUUGUCAAUUUCUUUUGUUUUUUUAGUAGAUCUCUCAAAAUCAAAAAGUUCUAAUCGUUAAUUCUUUAUUGUCUCAAGACUUGUUGCUGUGGGGUCUUCCGUUAAAUCUUUCUCAUCAAUAUUUACAUGUAAGCUUUAUUUUUUUAAUUUAAUUUACCGAAUUUAGGGUUUUCAAUUAUCAAUAUAGGACUUCUUAUGCUGAUUCCAUUUUUAUUUGGAGCAAUUUCUUAUGUUUGGUUAAUUUAUUUUUCUUACAUUUAGAAGUAAUAUAUCAAAGACUGAAAAUUCUUAUUUGUGCCUUAACGAUUCGAAAUUUUGUAUAUCAAUCACAUGAUAGAUUUUUUCAUCUUAAUUAUUUCUUUGUAGUUAGCAAAUACUAAGGUGGAUCUGAAAAUUGUAUCUUAUGAAUUUGAGUAUAUGGACAUCUAUUAGAAUUUGAUAUGCGUUCAUGCUUUUGGUCUUGUUAGAAUCUUUAAUUUAUUCUCUUUAAUCUACUCCAUAAACCAAGGUGUGGAAGGGGAAAUCUGUAUAUUGUUUUCUUGUAAAAUACUGAUUUAAUUAGAACCUGCAACGUAAAAGGAUUGAUCCUUAACAACCUGAAUUUUCUCCUGAGCUACGACAUUUAUGGGUUGCAUUGGCAUCUUAAAGGAGAGAAGACUUCAAUUGAGGUAGAUCUUUAUGAUGUCUCAUUAUUUGUGGACUUUCCUUUACUAAUUUCACUUUUGUAGCUUUUGUUGGUUGUACUGUUGAUUCUGUUGUUUCUGUUGUUUUGUCACUUCUCUUAUUGAGUUGAUUUUAUUUCUUAUGUACUUAAGCCUGUGAAUAUCAAUCCCUCUAUCUGGUUAGGGUAAUGGUUAUUGUUGCAUUAUUCCAACCAAUUGAUGCUUAAGUGAGAUCCAUAAGUGAAGAUUUAUCUUGCCGAAUUUAGUCUCAUGCUCGUGGUUUUCUUUUUGCUUUGUUUAAAUGAAGAUUUAAAUUAAUCUAAAUUUGUUUGCUCUUAGUAGUGUUUGAGUUUUAAUUGUUAAGCUAGAAAACUUGAAUUUGACCUAUUAAAUUGGUCAUUAGACACAAACAAGGUUAUCAAUAAGCCCAUAUUGCUUGGUUAUUUAAAGGACUAGAUGUUGAAAAAUCUCAAAAGUUUCUCAAAAUUCGUGAUAGCCUCCUGUUUUGUUUAUAUGAUUAGCAUCAAUAGAUAAUUCUUUUAGGUUAAAUUGAAUGCACUAGUAUUAAGAAAAAAAGAAGAAAAAAAUUGUUGCAUAAGGCGAUAUUUAAUUGGUACAAAGGCAUGAGUAAGUUAUCAUAAUUGCUCCUUGCAUUUGUGUAGUUCGUUCAUAUUCUUAAACUUAUGUCUAACAUAGGUACAAACUCCUAUAGAAGAUUAAUUGGGUAGAUGGAUUGUGAAGAAAAAUAAAAUGGCUCCCAUGUGAAUUAAAAAAUAUAGUUAUAGAAUUUCUUUGUUGAUGUUUGAGUUGAUUUAUUGCAACAUUUGAUUUUCAUUUCGUACUAGCUAUUGCUAUUUUUAUCCUUUUGCUGUAUACUUAUUAUAUCCUUAAUGACCUAGCAUUUAUGGAUUACGUGUCAAAGUUGAAUAGUUUGGAUGAAUGUAAGCGUGACUUGAAGUUAAGUACACUUUAAUUUUUCUAAUUUACUUAUAUGAGAAAAGUUUGUUAAGGAGGCAUUAUUUUGUUUCUUUUUUAUUAACAAAAUAAAAUUCUUAUUUAUUUUUAAAUUCAUAAUGCAGGUGAUCAAGGAUAUUGUGCAAAAAUGUAUUGAAGAAUGAGGACAAAUUGAAGAUAAUAUACAGUACUAUUUUAAAGGUCACUAGAAAGUAUAGAAGUAUGACAGUUGCAUACUUAUUUUUUGUAAAUGUUCUGUAGUUGAACGUUUAAUAUAUGAUUAUGGAUGUUUAAGUAUUUUUAUUUUAUCAACAAAUCAUGUAUAAUUUCUUUUUCAUCAAUAGAAUGACUAAAAUGAUGUAUGGGAAAUUAUCACCGGUAUACCCUUAAAUGACACCGGUAUCAAACGUGUUAUAACACUUUUCACUUAUAUCACUCGUAUACUCUAAAUUGACAAAAGAGUUCUGGCGUCCA
rnacentral:lncRNA from 1 species